rnacentral:rRNA from 1 species
AAAUUUAGCCCUAAAUUAUUUUAUAAAUUUCUCCUCCUCAAAUUUAUUAAAUAAAACAUUUUAACUCCUUAAGUAAAGGCGAUUGAAAAAGCUCUAAGCGCUAUAGAAAUAGCACCGCAGGGGAAAAAUGAAAGAAUAAUGAAACAAUUAAAGCUACUUACAGCAAAGAAUUUACCUCGUACCUUUUGCAUCAGGGCCUAACAAGACUUAAUAAGCAAAAUGAAAUUUAAGUUUUAAACCCCGAACCUAGGCGAGCUACUUUAAAACAGCCUAUUGGGCUAACCCGUCUCUGUAGCAAUAGAGUGGGGUGAUUUUUGAGUAGAAGUGAAAAGCCUACCGAGCCUAGAAAUAGCUGGUUAUUCAUGAAAAGAAUAUAAGUUCUGCCUUAAGCACCCCCAAUGAACCUCAACAACAUUCAACGCUUAAGAGUUAUUUAAAUAAGGAACAGCUUAUUUAAGCCAGGACACAACCUAAACAGUAGGGUAAAAUCUUAACACUACCAAGUGGGCCUGAAAGCAGCCACCUUUUAAAACGCGUCAAAGCGUAACCUUAACCCCCAAAAUACCAUUAAUUUUCAUGAACCCCUAAUUU